GAUGAACGCUAGCGACAGGCUUAACACAUGCAAGUCGCGGGGCAGCAUGGGGGUUGCUUGCAACCCCUGAUGGCGACCGGCGCACGGGUGAGUAACGCGUAUCCAACCUGCCCUUCACCACGGGAUAACCCGGCGAAAGUCGGACGAAAACCGUAUGUUGUCCAUUGACGGCAUCCGAUAUGGACGAAGGGCUGGGCGGGGAACGGAUGGGGCUGCGUCCGAUUAGCUUGACGGCGGGGGAACGGCCCACCGGGGUUACGAUCGGUAGGGGGUCUGAGAGGAAGGUCCCCCACACUGGAACUGAGACACUGUCCAGACUCCUACGGGCGGCAGCAGUGGGGAAUAUUGGUCAAUGAGCGUAAGCCUGAACCAGCCAAGUAGCGUGCAGGAUGCCGGCCCUGUGGGUUGUAACCUGCUUUUAUGCGGGGAUAAAGUGGCCCACGUGUGGGCUUUUGCAGGUACCGCAUGAAUAAGGACCGGCUAAUUCCGUG
rnacentral:rRNA from 1 species